UCGGGAAUUUUGGGCAAUGGGCGAAAGCCUGACCCAGCAACGCCGCGUGAAGGAUGAAGUAUUUCGGUAUGUAAACUUCGAAAGAAUAGGAAGAAUAAAUGACGGUACUAUUUAUAAGGUCCGGCUAACUACGUGCCAGCAGCCGCGGUAAUACGUAGGGACCAAGCGUUGUUCGGAUUUACUGGGCGUAAAGGGCGCGUAGGCGGCAUGACAAGUCACUUGUGAAAUCUCUGGGCUUAACCCAGAACGGCCAAGUGAUACUGUCGCGCUAGAGUGCAGAAGGGGCAAUCGGAAUUCUUGGUGUAGCGGUGAAAUGCGUAGAUAUCGGAAGGAACAUCGGUGGCGAAGGCGUCUACCUGGCCUAAUACUGACACUGAGGCACGAAAGCGUGGGGAGCAAACAGGAUUAGAUACCCAUGUAGUCCCUGAGCGGGCUGGCAAGGCGCAU
rnacentral:rRNA from 1 species